UCCAGCAGCCAUAUCACUCUGCAACUCACAACUGGCAGCCCACUGAAGCUCAGCAGGUGUGAGCCUGGUCAGUACCCGGAUGGGAGACCUCCUGGGAAAAACUAAGGUUGCCGCGGGAA
rnacentral:rRNA from 1 species